rnacentral:rRNA from 1 species
CCGCAUGGGGAUAUUUGCUAAAGAUUCAUCGCUGAUAGAUAGGCAUGCGUUCCAUUAGGCAGUUGGCGGGGUAACGGCCCACCAAACCGACGAUGGAUAGGGGUUCUGAGAGGAAGGUCCCCCACAUUGGUACUGAGACACGGACCAAACUCCUACGGGAGGCAGCAGUGAGGAAUAUUGGUCAAUGGGCGUAAGCCUGAACCAGCCAAGUCGCGUGAGGGAUGAAGGUUCUAUGGAUCGUAAACCUCUUUUAUAAGGGAAUAAAGUGCGGGACGUGUCCCGUUUUGUAUGUACCUUAUGAAUAAGGAUCGGCUAACUCCGUGCCAGCAGCCGCGGUAAUACGGAGGAUCCGAGCGUUAUCCGGAUUUAUUGGGUUUAAAGGGUGCGUAGGCGGCCUUUUAAGUCAGCGGUGAAAGUCUGUGGCUCAACCAUAGAAUUGCCGUUGAAACUGGGAGGCUUGAGUAUGUUUGAGGCAGGCGGAAUGCGUGGUGUAGCGGUGAAAUGCUUAGAUAUCACGCAGAACCCCGAUUGCGAAGGCAGCCUGCCAAGCCAUGACUGACGCUGAUGCACGAAAGCGUGGGGAUCAAACAGGAUUAGAUACCCUGGUAGUCCACGCAGUAAACGAUGAUCACUAGCUGUUUGCGAUACACAGUAAGCGGCACAG